GAUGAACGCUGGCGGCGUGCCUAAUACAUGCAAGUCGAGCGAACAGACGAGGAGCUUGCUCCUCUGACGUUAGCGGCGGACGGGUGAGUAACACGUGGAUAACCUACCUAUAAGACUGGGAUAACUUCGGGAAACCGGAGCUAAUACCGGAUAAUAUAUUGAACCGCAUGGUUCAAUAGUGAAAGACGGUUUUGCUGUCACUUAUGGAUGGAUCCGCGCCGCAUUAGCUAGUUGGUAAGGUAACGGCUUACCAAGGCAACGAUGCGUAGCCGACCUGAGAGGGUGAUCGGCCACACUGGAACUGAGACACGGUCCAGACUCCUACGGGAGGCAGCAGUAGGGAAUCUUCCGCAAUGGGCGAAAGCCUGACGGAGCAACGCCGCGUGAGUGAUGAAGGUCUUCGGAUCGUAAAACUCUGUUAUUAGGGAAAAACAAAUGUGUAAGUAACUAUGCACGUCUUGACGGUACCUAAUCAGAAAGCCACGGCUAACUACGUG
rnacentral:rRNA from 1 species